ACUGCCUCCUCUCUCGCUUGCUCUCUCUUUUGUGUGUUAUAGCAACAGUUGCUUUGUGAAUCAAGUACCAGUCGCCGUAGUCCUGGUGACUGUUACUCAUCAACAACAACCGCUGGCCUUCAUAUCCUUCCUCAUCGUCAUCUAAAACACCCAUCACCAACAAGAACAACAACACAGCUUUCCACGGUUCAGUUUCUGUGAUACUGCCCUUCAUCUUGUUUGAAAGAGGUGUAGAGGUUUCAAAAACACAGAUUUCAUCAGAAUAAUUAUAUGGGGAAAGGCAGAUGUUCAGCCGUUCCCUGGAAAGCAGGGCUUCAUUGUGCAUAACGGUUCCUUGGGAAGACAAGUGCCAUAACUUUGAACAUUCUUCCCUUCUUCCUCCUUCCCCCCCGCUUUUAUUGCUGAGUGUCAUGUCAUAUAGUGUGGAAUAUCCCUUUGGCCAGUUGGGGUCAACUGUCCCAGCUCUGUCUCCUCCCAAAUUCUUGUGUACCUCCAGAAUACUAGCUGGCAGGUCAGUGUAAGAAACAACAAAGGCCUUGAUGCUGCAUAAGCACUCUUAAAACAGUAGCUAGAACAUGGAUGUGUUAUCAACACUGUUUUGGUCACAAAUCCAAAAUACAGGACCAUACAAGCUGCUAUGAAGAAAAUUAAUUCUAUGCUAUCCAAAAAACAGUGCAAUUGUUAAGAUCUGUUAG